rnacentral:rRNA from 1 species
UACGUAGGGGGCAAGCGUUGUCCGGAUUUAUUGGGCGUAAAGAGCGUGUAGGCGGCCAAGCAGGUCCGUUGUGAAAACUGGAGGCUUAACCUCCAGACGUCGAUGGAAACCGUAUGGCUAGAGUCCGGAAGAGGAGAGUGGAAUUCCUGGUGUAGCGGUGAAAUGCGCAGAUAUCAGGAAGAACACCCGUGGCGAAGGCGGCUCUCUGGGACGGUACUGACGCUGAGACGCGAAAGCGUGGGGAGCGAACAGG